CUGGGCUGGGUAAUUAUGGAGACCGUACUCAUAUGGCCCCAGACAAUCGCCCCCGAAUCAACGCUCCCAACGCUCCCAAGAAAGGGGCUAUGACUGUAACAGACAAGCUUCAUUUCCCGACGUUGGUACCAGGACCGCGAGAAGCGCAGGAGUCAGACCACUAAGGAACUUAAUAGCUCUUCACUGGGGAGCGCAUUCCAAGGGAAACAACAGUGAUGACAAAAGGAACUGUGGUAGUGAAGGAGAAGAGCAAACACAAGCGGAAGCAUUGCCAAACUGGCUGCAGAUUUGCAACAAGUGCAACUGACGGCUUGGUUUCU
rnacentral:lncRNA from 1 species